CUUCCCUGCGUGUAGGCACCACUUUUAUUCCCAAACCCACACCUGCCUCCUUGCUGCAUGCCUGCAUCAAGUGGGGGACAUCCCACUUCCAUCACAUUCCCACAGUGAAAUGUUUGCAAGACCUUCUGCAGGAUUUGGUUGUGUUAAACCAUCGGUGCCAUAAGAAGAGGCUUUGCUAUUUCCUGUUUCUUCACAGAUUCAAGAAACCUCCAUCUGAGCAGUUCCCUUCUUGCAGUCAGGGCUGCGAGAGGCGCUGGCAAAGCCAAAACACGCCACCGUGGCCGGAGGGCUGCGGAAGGGACGGGACGUGGGGCAGCGGCUUCUCCUCGCCGGCUUUCCCACCUGCAGCUUUUGCAGAGCAUCUCCUCUGAUCGCUUCCAGCCUUCUCCUGACAAACAGCAAACUGAGAAGAAACAGCCUGUUCUGCAGGGCUCGCGGGCGCGGGGGUCAGGGGUCUCCGUUGCAUAGCCCCACGCAGCUGUUAAUCACCAGAAUAUCUCUGGCUCCCAGCAGCUGUCUGGUGUUUAUCUUAGCCUGGAUAUCUGCUGGCUGAGCCCGCCAAGAGCAGGCUGUGCAGCCAAGGCAAACACAAACGGAAGACAGAUAAUUUGCACACAAUGGUGCGCACGUGUGCUUGGUGCGCGCGCGCGUACGUGUGCAUGUGCGUGCACACACAGCCUUUGUUUAUGGCCCGCUGCUGGGGCUGGAGCUGAGCCCCCGCCCUUUCUGUCUGAAAUCAUUCAUUUUGUAGUUUUGUGGACGUCUCGGUGCAAACAAGAAGGGAGCCUCAAGUACACGAGCUGGGCAGGUGGUUAGGUGGGCGCUUCCAGGUGCACGGCUGUGACUCCGAUAAGAUCUCUCCCCCUGUGCUUUCUCUAAGCCUUAUGAGGUUAAUUAACAGAGUGUAAAAAUACAGGGCUGAUUCCAGGAUCGGUCAGCCUCAGAGGCUUCAAAGGUUGUCUCCAAGACAUUUCCCCAGCCACCUGGGGCUGGUUGGGAACCAUGAAGGAGGGAGAGGGCUGACAAAGUGAGCUGUCCCACCUGGAGGAGAGGAGCUCAGCCCUGUGAUCCGGUUGUUUUGUGAAGGUCAGAUAAUCCUGAGCUACCACGUAGCAGCUUGGAGCAGAGGAGGAGGUCCUGGCUGGCUCUGAGUUGCUGUUUGUGUGUGUGCAUGACAAGGCACUUCCGCGGCUCUGCUGGGACGGUUCCUCGCCGCCGCGGUCCGCUGGUGAGAUCAGACGUUACUGGAGAACAAGGUUUAACGUUACGCUGUAGAUUAUUCAGAACAAUCUGGAAAAAUGUAUAACCCGGUGCUGCUCAUGGUGCUUCCUCAGCCGAGGAGAGGAGCGUGGAGCCUGAGUGCAGCCGCCCAGCGAAGCAUCUGCCCCGUCCCUGUGCGCAGGAGCGAGACGGACGUGAAGCCGUAAUAAAGCUAAUGGAAGACCCAGCUGGACAAGGACAACUUUGGCUUGGGUUGAAAGCCGGAGGAAGCCUCUGCACUGCUGAUGCACAGAGGUAAAGAAUUACAAAGGCGAUGGGAGGGACCACAGUCAGCAGGAAAAGGACAGAAAGGCACUGAGGAGGAUCGGAUAUAUCAUGCUAUCACGUAGCUCGAGAGAUGCAAUAUCAGCAGCACCCGAAGACACCAGAGACCAAGAAACCGCUAGCAAGAAACGUGGGCGCGGAAGUAGUUGCACAGUGCAAUUAAUAAAACCUGACAAAGCUCCGGCUGCUGCCGCAGGCCAGCAAGGUUCUGGUAGUGCAGAGCUGAUGUCUGGGCUCAGCAGCGACAUCUGAAGCUGUCACAGAACAGAGGUCAGAGAACUGACACCGGCACAGGGCUGCAGCCGGGCAUCUGCUUCCCAUCUCGUUUUGCCCCGUGCUAGCGUAACCCCAUCACUCUGGGGGAAACUGCUGCUUUGUGUACGCAGGGGAAGGCAUUGCCUCCUAAAGCAGGAUCAGGCCCUGACCUCAGCCCACCGAGCCCUCAGGGGACAUGGCAAGUCCCUGGUCAUGUCCGCUGCUGACAGCCCCACGAGGGCUGGGUGGGUUUCCUCGCCUGUGGCUCUCCCUGGGGAGAGAGUUGGACCGGCAUCAUCCCUGGGGGAAACCUUCCCAGGGAGAAAGGAGGACCGAGGACAGAGGUGUUGACUGGCUUAAGAAAGCGAAGGGGAAGAAAAAAACAACCCCUGAGCUGCCAACAACUGUAAAACCCAGAUUAUUUGACCCGCACUUCACAGACAAGACAUUUUUGAUUCCAGUGCAAAGGAAUAUGGGCAAGACAUCAAGUUACAAGCCAGAAAUAUCAUGUAACCGGUAAUGGCCCUUUAUUGACAUAGGAAGUGGGAUGGUUUUGAUAAAAAUAAGAGCCCACACAAAUGAUUUUCUGUGCAUACAAUUCACAAGGAAAAUCUUUGAGGACUUUUUUGAAGGAAUGUGGUUAUUAUUUUUCCCUGUGUUCGUUUUGCUUGUUCCAUUAUUGAACAGAAAAGGAGUCGGUGGCAGGAGGAGAUGGAGCUUUCCCCCGUGCUCAAGGAGUCUGUGCAGUGGGUGUGCCCUGUGGCUUUUCCCUGAAACUGCCUGCCAGGAGCCUGGGCAAGGUGUGAGUGGUAGGAAUCGCUUCUCCCUGUGCCGAGAAGCACUUGAAACAAGUCUGCACAUACAUCGUGUUUUGGGCCAGUUUUCAGACUUAGUCCUCUCUGUCCGCAGUCAGUGUUUAUUGGGACAAAAAUGCAAGCGACCUACUUCACUGCUUACAGGUAGAACUACAAACGGGUUCAGUUCUUGGGAUGUUUUUAGUAACGUCUGUGUUUUGGAGGAGGCUGCACUGAAAAAUUUGAGAAGCUGAUGUGCUUCCUUUGUGGUGCAUCGCCCGGCUGACUUUUCAGGUUGCAUCCUGGGUGGCAAAGAAAGAUGCCCAUGCUUCGUCCUCUCUCCUCACUCUUCAGCAGCUUCUAGUGAUUCCCAUGCCAAAGCCACGUCCCACCAAGCUGCCGGCCUUCCUCACCCUGGGAGGAAAUAGCAGUCGAGCACCCCGUGGCCCUGGGGUUGCUGAACCCAGCAGUCCCAUUUUUGUGGUGUGUCUUUGUUGCCAGUUCUCUUCACCUAGUUUGAAACCAAAUGGUUCGUGAAGACCUACAUUAAUUUGGGAGGGACGGGGACUGACGUGUCAUUAAACAUGAUUAAUCUCUCGCUGUUGCCAGCCCUGCAGUAAUUUCUGGAGUGUUAUGGCUGCAUUUGUAGAGCGAAUCCCUGAACUUUUUGCAGACCUGUGGCCACACCAGCACCAGGCUCCCAGCAUUGUUUGUGUUCAAUUUCCUUAGUUUGCUUUUUUGUUGUUGUUUUUUGGGAAGGAGGAUGUAGAAGUAAGAAAUACGGGGGAAAGGUAAACAGGUCUGCGCUGGAUUUGUGCUCCCUAGUUGUUUGAAUGUGUGAUGUUAGAAAAA